rnacentral:rRNA from 1 species
UACGUAGGGUGCGAGCGUUAAUCGGAAUUACUGGGCGUAAAGCGUGCGCAGGCGGUUUGUAAGCCAGGUGUGAAAUCCCCCGGGCUCAACCUGGGAAUGGCAUUUGGGACUGCAAGGCUGGAGUGCGGCAGAGGAGACUGGAAUUCCUGGUGUAGCAGUGAAAUGCGUAGAUAUCAGGAGGAACACCGAUGGCGAAGGCAGGUCUCUGGGCUGACACUGACGCUCAUGCACGAAAGCGUGGGGAGCGAAACA